rnacentral:ribozyme from 1 species
AAAAAGGUCUCGAAGGAAUUUACACAAAAAAAAAGAAAAUGUUAGCGUAUCUUCUUUUCUCCUUCAAUUUUCACUUUUUUUGAAAGUUUAGCAGAAUGAGAAAAAGGGUUAGAAGAAUCAAU